AGUCACGUGGGUGUGUGUGAAAUGAAGCUUCGGACGUCACCGCCCACGUGAUUUUUAGAGAACGAAUCAAGCAUCGAUACAAAGCUUCACUGAAAAUCGCUUCAUUUUUUUGACACGCAUCGGAGCUUCGGUGUCACAGCUAACAUCAAUAAUAUAUAUAAUAUAUAUGUUCAAGUGUGCAUUUAAGGCUAAUUUUUACCGUAAACAAAAUAGAUUCACGUGUUGCUACUCCACAUGCCUUUGCUGUCACAAAACUAGAAGUUUUGAGAGUACAGAAAUGGUUGCUCAGAGGAUGUGAAAGGCAUUAUUCUUCUACCUCUCCGCUGUUUUGAUGAGAAAGAGGAGCUCCUCCAUUAUGUAGAAGAGACAAGCCUGGCAAAGGAUGUGGAGUUAGAAAACCUGCCUGUGACGCCAUGCAUUAUUGUGUGUGGACCCUCCUGCUAUGCUGCUGUCCAAUUCAUGCUAGCUGUGGACCGCAAUAUUGUGAAUGAUGACAUCACUUCUUUCAUCUCUGCUGUUUGCCUAAUGUUCGGCAGUUAUUACUGCUCCAACAUUAACUACCCUACUGAACUGGCGUCAGUGCUUGAAUUCCUGCAAAGGUGUUUUGUCAUCAUCAAUCCGGAGAAAGGGAAUAAAGGAGGUGGAAAAGAAAAUCAAAAAGCUACUCCCAGUUAACCCAAGAGUCUUCACCCUAAUCUCUGACCUUUCUGAUCACGAAUGGCGAGAGUCUUUGUAAAGGUGGUCUGCAGACUGUUUCCAAGUUUAUACUCUCUUAAAGGGUUAUUUCAGGCUUGAAUCAAAUUUUCCCCAUGUUUUACUUACCCUCAAGGCAUCCUAAGUGAAUGUGACUUUCUUCUUGAAGAAUAAUGCAGUCAGAGUUAUAAUACCACGUAUCCUUUUACUUCCAAGCGGUAGAAAGAGAGAGAAUGGGGGGCAAUUUUUUAAAUAUUACAUAUUGACAACACUAUUAUGGAUAAUGUCCAACAUCCGCUGCAGGCGAGCGAGAGACUUGUUUCUCCGGCAAAUGACGCAGACAUGUCGUAAGUUCCUGUGACGAACACAGCAUUUUUCAUUUUCAGCCAAUAUAAACACCGCCUCUUCUGGGCGAGAGCUUUCGUCGCCAUCAUUUAGCGGAAAAACAAGCCUCUCUUUCGCCAGCAGCGGAUGUUAGACAUUAUCCUUAAUAGCGUCGUCAAUAUGUAUAUUUCUCUUAAACAAACGCAUCGAUUCGCUUCAGAAGACCUUUGUUAAGACCACGGAGCCGUGUCGAGCCAUUCUUUGAUCGAUGGAUGCACUUUUUGGAGCUUCAAAAAAUCCCCCCCCCACAUUCACUCGCAUUCUGCCGCUUGGAAGUCAAAGAAUACGUGGUAUUAUUACUCUUGACUGCAUUAUUCUUCAAGAAGAAAGUCACAUUCACUUAGGAUGCCUUGAGGGUAAGUAAAACAUGGAGAAAUUUUGAUUUUAAGCAUGAAGUAUCACUUUAAAGGGAUAGUUCUCCCCAGGGUGAAAAUUCUGUCAUCAUUUUCUCACCCUCAGGUUCUUCCAAACCUGUAUAAAUUAUUUGUUCGGUUGAACAAAAAGGAAGCUAUUUAUAAGAAUGUCAGUAACCAAACAGAUCUUAUCCCUCAUUUACUGCCGUAGUAGGGGAAAAAAAUACUAUGGGAGUCAAUGGGGGAUGAGAUCUGUUUGGUAAAUGACAUUCUUACAAGUAUAUUCCUUUGUGUUUAGCAAAUCAAAGAAAUAUAUAUACAGGUUUGACAUGACAAGAGAGUGAGUAAAUGAUCAGAAUUUUCAUUUUUGGGUGAAGUAUCACAUUAAAUUCUACAUUUAAGUUUUAAAUGUAGACUGGACUGAACGAUUUUAAUUAAACCACUGUAUACCAGUUGAAACACGAGAACAGAAAAAUGCACUAAUAUUUUGUCUUAAAUGCCUGCCAGUCUUUAUUAAAAAUACUUGGGACCUCACUGAUGUCUUUGUCUUUUAUAGAUUUUGAUGGGUUUUGAUGAUUUGAUUUAGGUUUGCAAAUGUAAGAUAUUUAUCAAUUAGUUUAACAGUCAUUUUAAUAGUUUCUUAAAGGUUAAAUCUGAAUGUUUAGCAAAUAAUUAUAGGGUUUAACUGUAAUUAUUACAACAUAAACCUUUAAAUUACACAGUGCUGAACUGUAAAAAAGAUGGUUAUGAACCGUAAUUAAUACAAUGUAAACCCUGGAAUUUGACAGGUAUAAACUGUUGUUAUAACAGCAUAAACAAGUAAAUUAGAUAGCUAUUAGAAAGUUUUUUAUUACCGUAAAAAAGAACAUUAUCAACCGUAAAAUGUACAGUGGGUGCAAUCCCGUACAACCAAUAACGUUGCAACUUUAUUUUUGACGGUAAAGUUCUGGCAACCACAGCUGCCAGUUUUUUUUACCAUAAAAUGUACGGAAUAUUUUUUACAGUGGCACUAUAUUAAUUAACAUAACUAUUAACACGCAAAAUACAUAAUUUAAAGUACAAAUAAAUAUUAUAGUUAUAAUAUAUAUUAUAGCUUUUAUUACAAGUUCAUUUAUAUAUUAUAUAUUAGAGGAUUUAUUAGACAUUGGCCAAUAGAAAAUAGCAACAACUUUCACAAUUAAAACCUUCAUGUGAAUAAAAUUAGCAAUAAAAAAACUACAUAAUUUUUACAUUGACUACAAUAAUACAUUGACAACAUACCACUGCGAUUUUUAGAUGUUUUUUAGUGUUCAACAAAUUUGCAUCUCACCAUGCCCAAUGCCCUAAACAAUCCAAUGAGUAAAUAACUUCAGAAAGGACAUGAGAGUAAGGUGCUUACCCUCCU